UUUUUUUUUUUUAUAGGAUUUUGAGAAGACUAAGGCAAUCGUUGCUGAAGUCGAAGUGUUGUAAUGGUGAAUCGGGAUUUUUAAUGAAAAAAGUUUGAUUACUCUUGACUGUUUUGUGAAAUCGAAAUUACGUCUGUGAUUGAAGAAUUAAAAGGGUGUCUGUAGGAUUGAGUAUGCGGAGUGAAUGAAAUUUAUUGGGUUAAUCUAACGAGACAGUCAAUGGAUACAAGAUCGUGAGUAUAAAGCGGUAUUGAAGAUUA
rnacentral:lncRNA from 1 species